AGCAGUGAGGAAUAUUGGUCAAUAGCCUAACGGCUGAACCAGCAACUUGGAGGAAUGUAUAGCAACAGCUAUUUGCGUAUAUAUUACGUGAAAUCAACUACGUUGAAUAAAGUUCUGGUUAGAUUAUUAUGAUGAAAUUUUCUAGCCAUGUGUCUUGACCAAAUUACGUGCCAGCAGUCGCGGUAAUACGUAGAAGACUAGUGUUAUUCAUCUUUAAUAGGUUUAAAGGGUACCUAGACGGCAAAUCAAGCCAUAGUAGGGACUAAUUUGCUAGAGUUACUUGUAAGGAGGCUAUGAAGUACUAGUGGUGUAGAGAUAAAAUUCUGUAAUACCAUUUUCGGUAACGAAAAAUUUGGCACUGGUAAAGGCGAAGGCUUCCUCCUAUGUGAUAACUGACGUUGAAGGACGAAGG
rnacentral:rRNA from 1 species